GGUGCAAGUGUGUUGCUGCGCAGAUUCACGCCGCCGCCUCUUAAAGAAACAGAAGGGCCCCUGUAGGUGCUCGCCCUGCUGACAAGGCUGGAGUCGAGGAAGACUACUAUGACGGUUAUGUCAUCAUGGAAGUGGCGGCGAACACCACGGUCAAUCUUCUUGAGAUCUGAGUACCUCAUUUCUCUUUUCUUGGCUGCUUCUUGCAAAGCUGCCUUUAUGAGCCUCCUAGCACUUCCCUGAAAGAUCAAAGAGCACAAAUCAUCAGAUUC
rnacentral:sRNA from 1 species